GUCUCUUAGUGGCGAACGGGUGAGUAACGCGUUGGUGACCUGCCUCGAAGUGGGGAAUAACUCCGGGAAACUGGAGCUAAUACCUUAUGUGGUCUGUGGAUUUAGAAACCACUUACUAAAGGUCUUCGGAUCGCUUCGAGAGGGGCCUGCGUCCCAUCAGCUAGUUGGUAGGGUAAUGGCCUACCAAGGCGACGACGGGUAGGGACCUGAGAGGGUGAUCCCCCACAAUGGAACUGAAACACGGUCCAU
rnacentral:rRNA from 1 species